ensembl:snRNA U1 U1 spliceosomal RNA
AUACUUACCUGGCAGGGGUGAUUCUAUGAUCAUGAAGGUGGUUUUCUUUGGGUGAGGCUUAUCUGUUGCACUCCAGAUAGGUUUGACCCCUGUGAUUUCCCCAAAUAUGGGAAACUGGAACAUAUAAUUUGUGGCAGUGGGGGACUUCAAGCUCUCCCCUA